AGUCAACAUAAAUUUGGUGGUUUAUUUCCAGGAAUUUUAAAAUUGGUGUGUAUCAUAACUUUUAUAACAUUGCAGAUAAAAUUUAAUGCUGCUAUUUUUAAUGUGCAUUUCAAUAUAAAAUUUUUUAGCACAUAACAAUUCCUUACCAACAUAGUUUUUGAGAUCUGCCUGCUAAUGCAUGAAGUGACCAGAUCUUAAUUUAAUCACCCACUAAUUUUGGGGCAUAAGACUAUUUACAGCUUUUAACCAUUGGAACUGUUGUAAUCCCACAAAUUAUAUAAAACACAAGGAGUAUAACAUUACAAACUGUGGCACAUUCCUAGGUAUUUUUAAGGAAUAAUACAAAAGAAGCCUAUUCUGUGCUGUAAGUUACAAGUAUCCACAAAUAUCAUUGUUUGCAAUAAUGAAAAUACUAAACUGAAGUUCUAAAUUAUGUUCAUUGUUUGGUUGAUCUCUUGGUUCCAGUUUCAUUAAAGUAUUAAUACUUUCCCCAUAUUUGGCUAUUUUGUUGCAACAAAUGCAAAGUUCCUCUGUUAUGAAGCAGGCUUGAGAAAGGUUAAUGAUAAAUAUUAAGGGAAGACACAAAAAUUACUAUCAUCCAAUGCAAUAGUUUCAGGGCAUACUAAAAUUUCAGCAAAAAUUACAAAACAAAGUUAUAUUGAUCAGAAUGAGAAAAUAGAAGUAUCAAAAUAAUUUUAAAAUGUUUGUUUCAAAAAUUAUAAAGUGAAAAAAGUUAAAUUAUUUUUUUCGUGAUUUGAAAAUUCCAUUUACGCACACUUUUUCUUUCCACUAAUUUCAGGUAAAUCUCAAUCCCUGUAGGUAAAUUCUAGAUUUACAAAUACAUUUUUACAAAUGUAUUUACUUUUAAUUUUUUGUGCAUAAUUAAAAGUGAGACAUCUAAAAAUCAACUUUAACAAUUAUUAUAAUCCAUUUUGAUUUAUUUUAACUUCAAGGCAUAUGUAAAUGUAUUGAUAUAUUAUCAUGUAAUAUGUUACAUUUUGUAAUUUACAUUUUCACUUAGUAUUAUCAAUAAAAUAUUUCUCAAUUUCCUUAAUAAUCUUCAUAACUGAAAUGCUAGAUAGAAUAUAUAUCCAUCUUCCUGGUACGGUAAUCGUGGAGCUUCAUAAUACAUCCCUAAUUAGGUUUAAAACGUAUCUCCCUAUAUAAACUUCCUUCAGCUUGUGCUCUUAAGAUUCAUGUAACAUGGCAUUAACAUUUCCUACUUAGUGUUAUUGGUUCUAAUUUUCAUAGAAGACAAUUUUCUGCUAACAGCAUUAUCUCAAUUCUUAAAAUUUAAACAUUUAAUAUAAGCGGUAAAUAUAAGUUCAAAUGACUUCGAAAUGUCUUAAUUUCUUAAGAAGCUAAAAACUUUCUUAAUUCAGAAUAAGAAAACAUUUAGUAUUUCCAGUGGUGGGGCUUAGUUUUUUGACAGAAUGAACUGAGAGGCAUAACGAACAAAAGGCUGAGGACCCACAGCCAAUUAAAGGAUGGCCUCUGAUUAAUCUUCAUCAAGUUCAUUGAGUGACAGGCAUGCUUGUUGCCAUGGAUGCUAGCAAACUCACUCUAUUAUAAAAAAAAAUCUGUUUUUAAGUUACUGCUUGAUCCUCCAUGACUUCAGUGGCCCAAAGCAUCUCCUUUCUACAUCAAAACACUGAAAUAUUUGAUUACAGCCAGCACACACCUACUGCCUUCCCUUUUCCAAGAGUAAGCCCCCAUGGAUCCUUUGGCCAUUCCACCUCUGACCUGCUUUUCAGAUCCCACACCAUUCUCCUUGUCAGCGUCUGAACAGGCUCAGGUCUGAGGAAUGGGGCCAAGUGCUGAGCAGCAUAUGAGCUCUUUGCCCUCUGACCCACGCAGAGUUCAGGGGGGCCAACCCUGCCUUCACUGUGGGCUUCAGACUGUGCUCACAGCAUCAUGGAGUCUAGAGACAGAAGAUGCAGAUCCUGGGUCUCCCAGGGGUCAAUAUUUUAAUUGACACCUGACCCUUCAAUCUCUCUCACUCCCAGUUCUUUCCAAUUGUAAAAUGGGAAUAAUUGUCCUUGUAAUGCAGCAUUGUUGAGAGAUUAAGAGAAAUGAUAUCUACAAAAUACUCAGAGGUGUUUACUCAUACACAUCAGAGCUAAGAAACAUUUUAAUAAAGUAUUUUUCUUGAAUAUAAAGUGCUGAAAGAUUUUCAAUUAUUGGAAAUUUUUUGAGAUGCAUAAUAGAAUUUUUCUUUCAAUAUAUGCCAGGAGAUUUUUCAAGUANUUCUGGUCCCUCCCUUCCCCCUUCCUCUCCACUGGUUACCCUGGUUCUUUCUAGCACAUUGCAUCACGACAUCCCAUCCUGCCUCCCCACCUGGCACAGGGGUUCUAACUCUCCCCCAGCCUUUCCUUCAGGGGGUGGGUCCCUUUUGAUGACAACAGGGGACACGGGGCUCUGUGCCUCAUCCAAACUGAACACCAGGGCAUUGCUUUCUGAUUUCCUGUUCAUGGCUGUGGCUACACAAGCUUCGCUGUGACUGUGGCUGCAGACUGUCCGCCUUCCCUGGGGUCUCCUGGGCAGCCUGGUUUCUGGGCCCAGAAGGACCUUUCUGUGGUACAAACCUUGCUGAGGCCGCAGUUCCACAGGGGGCAAGAACGAAAGUUGUUGAGAGAGUUUGUUUUCCCUUUAAUUUCUCAAUGAAGCCAUCGAAUUUGAAAUUAUUUAAAAAAGACCCAUGAAUACUGCACUCACCUUUCAGAGCCAGAGCUGCUGAUGUGGAUUCUGAAGAGCUCUUAAUAGAGCAGAUGUUUCCCACUAUGUUUACAAGUGGCUGUGCACUGAACCUCUGGGAGUGUGAAAUGCUGACUGUCGCCCUUCCUCCAGGAGCCCAGUUACAGACCUUCAGCCAGGGCGAGGGUGGGUGUCUGUGUGUGUGGUGGGAGGGAAGGAGGGCUCUCAUAGAACAGGGCAAGUCCCCUGGGCUUUUGGUGCUUCCCCUGUGAGAAGAGGAUUCCUGAGUUUGUUCCACAGAAAUGGCUUGUAGACUUGUGGCUCAUUAAAGUGGCUUCAGUGGACGGUCCAGGUUCUAACAAAAGGUGUAUUUGCAAAGAUGGAUGGACACUUUGUCGAGAGACUUGGAGAAAGAGUUCUUGGACUAGAAAGUUGUCUGGAGUUUGGGACCAACGUCAGUGUUAUCUGUGCUCUGAUUUUACCUGUGUAAACAAAAGAGUUCCUUUCACUGAGGACAUCAGGUAGUGGGGAAAGCCAAGGAGUAAAAGGAGUCAGGAAGCAGACACGAAGCACAGUCCCCUGUCACUCAAAGGGUGUCCCAAGGAUGGGUGCUGGUUCUCAAAGUGUUUGUCAUCAGUCUGGUAUGCAGCAAAAACAGAAACUGGAAGGAGCUCUUAAGCACUGUUACAGAAUUUUGAGAAUGUCAGUUGGCUUCAAUAAUUUAAAAAUUGUAUUCAUGCUUUUGUAUUUUAGUUUUCCUUAUUUAACCUUUUCUGUAGUCCUAGUUUUAUUAUCUUUCUACAAAGUAUCGAUCCCCUGGGCUUGGAAAAAAGUAAUCCUUUGUUUAAAGAGUUUGAGGAAACUAAGCGUGGCCUUUCUGUUCAGGAAACCUAGAUUCAGUUUUAGGUGUGUGAGUUCAGGAAAAUUGUUUAGCAUUUUUGAGACUCAAUUUCAUGAUCUGUAAAUUAGGUUCAUAAUCCUAUUUAUAGGCUGGUCAUGAGAUUCAAGUGGAUUAGCAUAAAGUCAUCUGGAAAAGGUAUCCGGAGUUAGUGAUGUGUUUCAAACGUGAGACAAAUAGGAGAAAGUGCCUGGAUGUGUCGUCUCUGAUCAACACUCACCAGACGCAUUCAUCCGAGUUGGAAGGAGCCCUGUCACCUUCUGCAAAAUAUUCUAUUUCCUCCUCAGUCCCCAAUCCUUCACUUUUGAUGUUCAUGACGUUCCAGCUACGGCCCCUGCUGUCUGCCCCAUUGAGCUCCCUGCUAUUCCUCAUGCCCUGAGGACUUGCGCUCCUGCAUCCCACAUCGUCUCUCCAUCUCUACCUUUGUCACCAGCAAGGACAACCUCUAACCAUUUGAGUAUCUCCACGGACAAUUUAACCUCUAGCUUCUUUCUUGUUUUACUUUGACUCAAAUAUAUUUUAUUUAUCUACACUCAGGAAAGCUUCUAUCAUAUUCAUUAUCUUAGAUCUCACUAAUUUUCAUUUUUGUCCCACAAUUUUAUAUAUAUAUAUGUAAAAGCUCAGUGUUAAAGUUUGAUUAGCAAAUAGUCCACCAGAAACACACCUAUAGUCCAACAUACCUGAGUUUAUUGGGUCGGUGUAGCGAGGGAGGGCUCUCCAAAGACCAUCACACACCUCUCAGCAUUGGAGAGAAGAUGCAUGGCUUUUGUUGUUGUUGUUAUUAUUAUUAUUGACCACACUUGGGGCCUUAAAACCUAUGCUACAGCUGCUGCUAGAUCGUCAACCCUCUGCACCCGAGUAGGAACUCUCAUGCUUUUUGAAAGGACUGCAUUCUUACUGAAGGCUGCUGAGUAGGAGUUAGGGGUUGUGGGUUUAGUUGUGGAAUGGUUGCUGUUCCUGUGGUGAGACUGUGGGAGUGGUUUAUCCAAAACUGAAUGCUGUCGUGAAAUAAUGGUAAUUUAGCAAUCGAGUAUCUCCUGCUGUAGAUAAGAAUAGUAUUUUAGGCUUGAGUACCUUGUUGAUAAGAAAGCAGUAGUUAUUGAAAAAUUAGAUCACUGUGGCAUUUUUACAUGGAAAUGUAGCACAAACUUGGAAGAAACAACAUUUUCUACUAACUUUGAUUCUAGGUUACUCUGUGUUCAUUUUUCCAGCCUGAACAAUGACAGGGAUGUUUUUCAGUCUCAAAAAAUAUGUUCUUCUGGAAAAUAUUUAUUUCUCAUUAUUUACCUAAUGUAAUGAUAUAAAAUUUUAUACUAUCUAUCUUUAACCAUCUUAAUACCUACAGAAUGUACAGUUAUGCCCCAUUUUGUGUGUCUUAUUUGGAUAAUUGCUAUUUUACCUUUUUAGUGAUUAUUACUCCUAUUGUUUCAUUUUGUUUUGUUUUACUUUUACUAAUCCUUUCAGUGUAGUUACGCAUUUCUUUCUUUACUCUAUGGGAGAAAUUUUCUAUUUAAUUUAUGUUUCUUUUUUAUUUUAGAUGAUUUUUAUUUUUUCCAUUCUAGCUGGUUUACAAAUGUUCUGUCAAUUUUCUACUGCACAGCAGGGUGACCCAGUCACAUAUACAUACAUACAUUCUUCUUCUCACAUUAUCCUCCAUCAUGCUCCAUCCUAAGUGACUAGAUAGAGUUCCCAGGGCUACACAGCAGGAUCUCAUUGCUUAUCCAUUCCAGAGGCAAUAGUUUGCAUCUGUUGACUCCCAGCUCCCAGUCCAUUCCUUUCCAAGCUUCUUGAGAUUAAAACUUAUGCUUUUGUUUCCAGCCUUUCCUUGAGGUUGGCUUCCAACCUAUUACCUUGAUGAGUUCCAGUCUUUUUUGUCAGUGUUUGUUCAACAGUUAGUUGUGAUUUUGUGUUUAUGUGAGAGGAAGUGAGUUCAAGUCCUUCUACUCUGCCAUCUUCUCUCUGACCCCUUUCCAAAGCUGGAAGGACUGGAAAUUUUCAUGGGACCCGGUACUCAGGUAGGGAUUCCCAAACAGUAAUUGAUGAGUUGCUGGAGGCUCAGUGUGGAAAACCCUUUUCUACCAUUUCCUUUGUGCUUCAUUAUUUUAACUCGUUUAUAGGGUGCCGGGUGCAGAGUUCUUGCCCCUGGUACUUAGACCAGAAUUCUCACUAUGAGAUGGCUGCUCCUGACACCUCAGCUGAGCCAGCCUUGUGACAAGAAUUGUGCACAUACUGAUUCAAACUGGCAGCAGGCCAUUUUCCAACCUAUUGUCUUGAGUUUGGGCUCUAUAUAUCCUUUUUUAUGUGCCAGUUACUUUGAAUGAUGUUCUGGAGAUUGUGGAGGAUAUGUUAUAGAAAGUCUGGAUUGUCUUAUAGCAUUCUCAACAUAGUCACUGCUUGAAUAUACCACCGUUUCUUCACCUGUUCAUUCAAUAAUGGACCUUUAGGCAUUUCCUAGUUUUUGGCAAUUGUGAAUAAAGCUUCUGUGAAUAUCUCCAUGCAAGUCUUUGUGUGGAUAUGUUUUUAUUUCUCUUGGACAAAAAUUUUAGGAUUGUAAUCACCUGGUGUAUGGUUAGCAUUUGUUUCCUAAAACGUGCAAAAUUGUUUUUCAAAUGGCUGCACCAUUUUGCAUUCCAACCAGUAUUUUAUUCAGUUCUGUUUGCUUUGUGUCCUUUCUAGCACUUGGUAUUGUCAGUUAAAAAAAACAAAACAAAACAACUCUUCUGGAGUUCCUGUCAUGGCUCAGUGCAAGCAAAUCUAACUAGUAUCCAUGAGGACACAUUUUGAUCCCUGACUUUGCUCAGUGGGUCUGAGCAUUGCUGUGAACUGUGGUGUAGGUCACAGACACAGUUUAGAUCCUGUGUUGCUGUGGCUAUGAUUUGACCCCUAACCUGGGAACCUCCAUAUGCUGCAGGUGUGGUCCUAAAAGGCAAAAAAAAAAAAAAAAAAA
rnacentral:lncRNA from 1 species